CACUCCUCCAAUGGGAGCCGGGGAGCCGUCUGUAGCGGCGUAGGCCCGUGCCCCUGCUCGCGCUGCAACCCGUGGAAGGGUUGCGUCCAGUGUAUCCUUCCAGGUCUUGCGGUAGUCCUCUCGUAUCUGUGCGCGCGCAGGAGGGACAGCGGCGGCGACGGCCGGAGGUGUACGGUCAGCGGGUUGCGGAGGAUCGUGCGGGUAGCAAAGGGAGGCCGAGUGCUCCUGCGGCUCCCAGACGGCAAACGGUUGCUUCCUCUACUGAAGUCUUGAAACCCCUGAAAGUCAUCCCUGAGGGUUGGAGUUAACUUCUUCUACACUCCUGUUAAUGUUGAUAUUUUGACCUCCUCCCAUGAAUCACAAAUGUUCUUAAUGGCAUCUAGAAUGGAACUAACCUGUCAGGUACUGAGAGGCUUUGAAGAUGGCUCUUCAGGUUGGGGACACGCCUUUGUUAAGGGGCAAGACUGCUGCCUGGAGUUGAUUCACAUACUCAGAGGUCUGAGGAAGAGCAUAUGGCUGUCUCUUUUGGAAUGGGGAGAGAUAUUCAUGUCCCACAUAAAUGAGCACCAGAGAGAGUCCACUGCAGAAGAGGAGCUCAAUCAAGUAGACAGCUCAUCUUACUUGAUUGCUGUGAUGAAGCAAGCUGCCAUAUUGUGAGCCACCCUAUGAUAAGGUGCACGUGGCAAGGAACCUGAGAGUGACCCCCAGCCAACAGCCAGCAAGACUGAAUAUGCCAACAGCCACAUGAGUCAGCGUGAAAGCAGAUCCUUUCCCAGCCAAGCCUUGAGAUGACUGUAGCCCCAGCUCACACUCUGCUGGCUGUGAGACCCUGAAAUAGAAACUCAGCUAAGUUGUGCCCAGAUUCCUAACCACAGGACUGUGAAAUAAAAUGUUGUUUUAAGCCAC